rnacentral:rRNA from 1 species
UAACCUGCCCAAGAGACUGGGAUAACACCUGGAAACAGAUGCUAAUACCGGAUAACAACACUAGACGCAUGUCUAGAGUUUAAAAGAUGGUUCUGCUAUCACUCUUGGAUGGACCUGCGGUGCAUUAGCUAGUUGGUAAGGCAACGGCUUACCAAGGCAAUGAUGCAUAGCCGAGUUGAGAGACUGAUCGGCCACAUUGGGACUGAGACACGGCCCAAACUCCUACGGGAGGCAGCAGGA